GAUGAACGCUAGCUACAGGCUUAACACAUGCAAGUCGAGGGGCAGCAUGGUCUUAGCUUGCUAAGGCCGAUGGCGACCGGCGCACGGGUGAGUAACACGUAUCCAACCUGCCGUCUACUCUUGGACAGCCUUCUGAAAGGAGGAUUAAUACAAGAUGGCAUCAUGAGUCCGCAUGUUCACAUGAUUAAAGGUAUUCCGGUAGACGAUGGGGAUGCGUUCCAUUAGAUAGUAGGCGGGGUAACGGCCCACCUAGUCUUCGAUGGAUAGGGGUUCUGAGAGGAAGGUCCCCCACAUUGGAACUGAGACACGGUCCAAACUCCUACUGGAGGCAGCAGUGAGGAAUAUUGGUCAAUGGGCGAGAGCCUGAACCAGCCAAGUAGCGUGAAGGAUGACUGCCCUAUGGGUUGUAAACUUCUUUUAUAAAGGAAUAAAGUCGGGUAUGGAUACCCGUUUGCAUGUACUUUAUGAAUAAGGAUCGGCUAACUCCGUG
rnacentral:rRNA from 1 species